GACGAACGCUGGCGGCGUGCUUAACACAUGCAAGUCGAGCGGUAAGGCCCUUUCGGGGGUACACGAGCGGCGAACGGGUGAGUAACACGUGGGUGACCUGCCCUCAGCGUCUGGGAUAAGCCUGGGAAACCGGGUCUAAUACUGGAUAUGACUCCAUGACGCAUGUUGUGGGGUGGAAAGCCUUGUGCGGCUGAGGAUGGGCCCGCGGCCUAUCAGCUUGUUGGUGGGGUGANGGCCUACCAAGGCGACGACGGGUAGCCGGCCUGAGAGGGCGACCGGCCACACUGGGACUGAGACACGGCCCAGACUCCUACGGGAGGCAGCAGUGGGGAAUCUUGCGCAAUGGGCGAAAGCCUGACGCAGCGACGCCGCGUGAGGGAUGACGGCCUCGG
rnacentral:rRNA from 1 species